rnacentral:rRNA from 1 species
UACGUAGGGUGCAAGCGUUGUCCGGAAUUAUUGGGCGUAAAGAGCUCGUAGGCGGUCUGUCGCGUCGGCUGUGAAAACUCGGGGCUCAACCCCGAGCCUGCAGUCGAUACGGGCAGACUAGAGUGCUGUAGGGGAGACUGGAAUUCCUGGUGUAGCGGUGAAAUGCGCAGAUAUCAGGAGGAACACCGGUGGCGAAGGCGGGUCGCUGGGC